AGGGCACCCCCCGGAGUGGAGCCUGGCGCUUAAUUUGACUCAACACGGGAAAACUUACCUGGGCCGGAAACUGGAAGGAUUGACCGAUUGGGAGCUCUUUCUUGAUUCACUGGGCGGGGGGGCAUGGGCGUUCUUAGUUGGGGGAGCGAUUUUUCUGGGGAAUUCCGAUAACGAACGAGACUCUAGCCUACUAAAUAGAUCCGGGGCUUACAAACUCCAACGAGACUUCUUGCAUGGACAAGGGGCGAUUCGGCCGCAAGCAACAGAACAUUAACAAGUCUGUGGUGUCCUUUGAUGUCCGGUGUCGCGCGCCCCCUACACUGAACUGAUCAGCGAGCAUUCUCAGCCUACUCUGCCUCCAGUGGGAAACCCAAAGAACCCUCUUCGUGAUUGGGAUAGGAGAUUGUAAUUAUUCUCCUUGCACGAGAACUUCCCAGUCCGCGCGAGUCAUAAGCUCGCCCUUACUACGUCCCUGUCCUUUGCACACACCGCCCGUCGCUACUACCGCUUGAGAGUGAA
rnacentral:rRNA from 1 species